UACGUAGGGUGCGAGCGUUAAUCGGAAUUACUGGGCGUAAAGCGUGCGCAGGCGGUUGUGCAAGACAGAUGUGAAAUCCCCGGGCUUAACCUGGGAACUGCAUUUGUGACUGUAUAGCUAGAGUACGGUAGAGGGGGAUGGAAUUCCGCGUGUAGCAGUGAAAUGCGUAGAUAUGCGGAGGAACACCGAUGGCGAAGGCAAUCCCCUGGACCUGUACUGACGCUGAGACGCGAAAGCGUGGGGAGCGAACAGG
rnacentral:rRNA from 1 species